UAUGGAGUCUAAAAGGAGGAGGCGAAUCGAACGCAAAAAUUAUGGGCCCAGUUUUUGAGAUCUAAAUGAAGUUCGAAAAUCGCCGUUAGGGGCGCUUGUGAUGAUUGGGAUACUAGAAAUACACAGCUUCUUAUGGCAAGAAUAACUAUUUUGUUAUAAAUUAUAGAGCCAAGUUAAUAUUUGGGCAUAUUUUUACCAGAGUUAGCUUUUAGAAACGUGGUUUUUCUAAUUGAGCAAUGUGCGUGGCUAAAAUUGUGAAUACAAAACCUUAAAUUUGAGUUUGAAAAUGCAUACACGACCGAAGAAACAUAUAAGCUGCUAAAAUAAAUCUUCCCUAGAACUGUUGUACAAAAAAGAUAGAAGUUCCAGCAACAAAUUUAUCACCAGUUCAACCUUUGAUUUGAUGUAAACAGUAAUUGUUUCUUGAUGAGAAAUGCGAAUGAAAUAGUUUAUGGUGUGAUUGUGUUAGUGUUUUAUUAAUAGUUUUGUUGAUGCAGUUUAAAGGUUCAUAGUUUUUCAUUAAAACAUUUGAAAUUGACAUGUUUACAUGCAGUUUAGUGUGAUACCAUUUUAAUAAACAUUAAAAUCUUUCGAACUAGUAGUGGUUUUAUGGCGAUUGACAGAUUGAAUAACGAAAAUUAAGAGUAUUUUAUCAGGAAUAACUUAAUCAUAAAUGGAAACUGAAGACGAACGUUACCAUUGCACCCUUUGAUCGGUGUUAUCUAUUCCAUAACUUUUUAUAGCUGAAACUAGAGAGUAGGUAUAUUGAGCUGAAACGUUUCCUGUGUUCAAUAGCGUUUUUUCUAGCGUUGAAUUGUAAGUUUUAAUGUCAUUAGCAAAGUUUUGCAAAUUGUCACUGUUUCGUAGACAAUUAAAUUCAAGAUAUAUUAUAUUCAAUGUCACCUAAUAAUUGUAAAGGUUUUUCUAUUGAUAUUCACUUUAUUAAUAUAAGGUAGGUUUGUAAAUAAAAUAUUAAUGAAUAAAUAAUGUACUCAGUUUAUUUCAAAAGCACAAAAAUACAGAGUUGUGAAUAUGUAUAUACGCUGACUUAUUUCAUCAUAUAAAUAUUUAUUUAGCAAUAUUAAUACAUUACAACUUUUGUUUCUAUUAACUAAUUCCACUAAAUUUAAUAAAUAAAAUAUACAAUAUAUAAAUUUAAUAUACAAUUUAGCACUUAGAUAUUAAAUAUCUAUAUGUACUAUGCCAAAAAAUAAAACAGGAACAUCAUAUUAUAUCAAGAACACAAAAAAUUACAAUUUAAAAAAAAUGCAUUCUAAAAAAAUACCUAGCUACAAUAUACCUACAUAUUAAUUUAAAGAGCUUAUUCAUAUUCAUAAAAACUAUUCUAAAUGGUUUAUAUACACAAUCAAAAGUAUCAACCACAAUACAAUAAUUUUCAAAUUAUUUCUUAUUAUUCCUCAA